CCUUAUGACCACUUGAAGAUUUUAUCUGUGUUUGCAAUUUAAAACAAUGAAACAGAGUGUGAAUAGUGAAGUGGCAUAUUUUUGCUUGGUAAGUGAAAAUUUCAGUUCAUACAUGAGAUAUUCUACUGCAUUUGAAUAAUAUCUUUAAAAUAGAAAUUUGUUUUUAGAAAAUUCUUAUUUUUCCCCCCUGUCUUUCAUCUUUAUUGUGUGGUGACCCAAAGUGUUGAGGGAAGAGUCCUGUGCUUUGGUCUUAGUCACUGACUGACUGAAAGCCCAGGUCAGUCCCCCGGCAGACAUGCAGAAGGGGAGGGUUGAUGGCCAUGCUUCUCACCUGCAGAUUGGCCAUCACUGCAUUCGGGGUGAUUUCCAACACCUGUCUCAUUCUUAGAAAAUUAUUAUUUGUUAUUAAACCGAAAUGUAUUCAUUUCUGAGGCAAACAUUAUGUAGGCAUACUAUUUCUCUUUUUUUUCCAAAAAAGAGAAUAAAUGCGAUGAAAAUUAUCAACCCCUUGCUUUUAUUCCUUUUUUGUACUGUGAUAUUUAUUUUUUUUCUUUGUUCAUUGUUAAAUUUUAUUACUGGCAUGCAUGUGUGUAGAAGGAUCAAUGAUAGAAAAUGUCCACAGUUUCUGAUUCUCCUCUGGCCAUUAUUAUUGCUAAUUUCAUGAUUAUUCCUAAAACGAAUUCUACUGUAAGGAGGAGAGAGAAAAAAUGGUCUGCUCUGAGUGUUAAAUAUGCUACUUAUGUCACUACACUUGAAUGAGAUUAAGGUUCCCUUUUGGGAAGUUAGAUUUUUCAGCUCAGCUAAUCAUCUGUCUUGUGACAGUCCUAAUAACUUUUAACCAGACAUCUUUUGUUGUACCUAGUCUAACAAUAUAAUCUAACCACUUUCCCCAUGCUAGAAACGUGUCUAACAAGAAAAAAAUCUGGGAAUUGGCUUUCUCAGGAGUCUUUUUCCUGUGGUGAAUUGAAAUAAAACUUGGGCCCGAGUUUACAAUUAGUCAGUUUAAAAAGUUGCUUUAGUGUAUGUUUAAUAAGACCUAUCAUUAAAAAAAAAAAAGACAAAUCGAAGCAGGGAAGGAUAAAAGCAUUGGUAGCAGGGAUGGGGUAUGGUGGGUUUCAGUUUAGAGCAGAGUGGUUAGAGAAGUAACACUGAAGCAAAGAUGUGAAGGAAGUGAGGAAGUUCACCAGUCAAGUAUCUGCAGGAAGAACACUCCAAACAGAAGGAAUUAUAGGCGCAAAUGCCCUGAGGUAGAGAAUUGCUGGUGAGCUUGAGAGAAAAGUGAGAGGUCAGUAUGGCUGGUGUGAAGGGAGUGAGGGGCUUGUAGGAGAUAUGGUUGGGGGCCUUGGGAGCCCAGUAAAGACUGCAGAGGUCCUGUCUCUUCUUGGAUGUCAUUCCUUGUUUAAGAUCCUGUUUAAAGCCUCAUGUUUUUCCUUUCCUCCUGGAAUGGUUUCUUCUUUAAAAAAAUUUUUUUAAUGUUUAUUUAUCUUUGAGAGAUAGAGCAUGAGUGAGGGAGGGGCAGCAAGAUAGGGAGAAACAGAAUCCAAAGCAAGCUCCAGGCUCUGAGCUGUCAGCACAGAGCCUGACGUGGGGCUCGAACUCACUAACUGUGAGGUCAUGACCUGAGUCAGUCGGAUGCUUUACUGACUGAGCCACCCAGGUGCCCGUCUUCUUUUAAAUUCAUGUAGAGUUUUAAUUGCACCUUUUAAUAUUCUGCUUUGUCCUAAAUCUUUGGUUUCUAGUCUUGUCCACCUUUCUAGGUUUUGAGCAGUUUAAGGGCAUAACUGUAAUUUAUCUCCCUUUGUAAUUCCAUUCAUUCACUUAUCCAUUAGACAUUUACUGAGCACUUACUAUGUGCCAGGAAUUGUGCUAGGCCCCUGUUAAAGACAUAACAUAACCUUGAAGGUUAUGUUACCACAAAAUAUGCCACUCCAAAAUAUGUUACUUUGGCAUAUCGAUUAUGUAUGUUAAGCUGUAGGUACUUGAAAAGUGGCAAAUGCAGGAAGGGACUUUCUAUGAACAUCCCUUAUCUGCCCCAAGACAGAUCCUCCAAAAAAGAACUCAGUUGUCAUACAUACCCUCUUAAGAGUUUUAUCAACCAGGGAAGAUUGUCUUUUAUCACAGUAGAGGAGACUGGAAAUGAACACCACAGCCAGACAAACUUUGUCACAAACUAUCACACCUCCUAUCUACUUUUCUGAGGGCCCAUUCAUCUUUCCUAAAAACCAUUCACUCUCCUCUAAGUUGCCUAUAUAUACCCUCUCCCUGUUUCUUAUUUUUUAAAAUGUUUAUUUAUUUUUGAGAGAGAGAGUGGGGGAGAGAGUGAGGGAGGGGGAGGGGCAGAGAAAGAGAGAGAGAGAGAGAGAGAGAGAGAGAGAGAGAGAGAGAGACAGGAUCCGAAGCGGGCUCUGUGCUGACAACAGAGCGCCUGAUGCAGGGUUUGAACACAUGAAUCAUGAGAUCAUGACCUGAACUGAAGUCAGAUGUUUAACCAACUGAGCCACCCAGGUGCCCCUCCCCUUUUCUUAUUAAGAUUUUUUUUUUAAGCUUGAACUCUAAGCCUCCCCUUUGAGUUACUCAUUUUUCCCUAUGUGUAUCUGUCAUGUAAAUAUGGGAUAUACAUUUUAAUCAAUGUCUAUUUGUUUUCUGUUAUUAAUCUUCUCUUAAGUUUAUUUAUUUAUUUUGAAAGAGAGAGAAAGAAAUAGUUGGGAGAGGAGCAGAGAGAGAGGGAGAGAGGAGAGAGAAUCCCAAGAAGGCUCUACCCUGUCAGCAUGGGACCUGUUGUGAGACUUAAUCCCACAGACUUUGAGAUCAUGACCUGAGCCAAAAUCAAGAAUUGGACACUCAACUGACUGAGCCACCCUGGUGCCCCAUUAACCUGUUUUUUUAUUGGAAGAGUUUCAGACAAAAAACUCAGAGAGGUAGAGGGAGAAUUAUUUUUCCUUCCCUAUAACUUCUACCCUCAAGGAACACAUGGUUUACAGGAAGACAUAGGAGUAGGGCAGUAUUUACAGUGCAAUAAAAAAGGUCUCACUGGAUCAUAGACAGGGGCAUCUAAUGGGGGAACUAGAGAAGGGACAGUUGUGAUCAGAGAAGACUCUCAGGAGGAGGUGAUGAUUUAUCUACACCUAUAGCCCUCUGGAGGAACUUUCUGGUAUUGAGGAGAUUGUGUUUUGAAGUAACUCUCCUGUAGAGUAGAAGGGGUGGGGGAGGGAAGGUGCAGCCUAUUUGCUUUUGAAUAAGGCUACUUAAAACUGUCUGAUGCCCAGGCUGCUGCAGCCCUGGAUCCCAUCACUGGAAGGGACAUAGUCACCAGCUACAGCCUUUUCUUGGUUCAGUUCCUUCUCUCUUGGUUGGAAUGUCCUUUCUGAUCCACCAAUGUUCUUCAGCAGUCUCACUCUGGUAACUCAGGGCAAGUUAUUUCAGGAGACAUGACAUCCCUCUGUUUUUGGAAUGUCUUUGAUUCACAGUGAGAUUUUUCCUCUAAGAGUAAGAAAGAAUUUUGAGGCACAUCCCAUAAAUAUUCACAACCUUCCUGUGAAGCUAAUGGCCAACACAAAAUCACUUGAAUGCAUUGUUUUACUUUUAUAGAUGGGAAAAUGCAGACACGGGUUGGAUGAAUGCCUUUGUUAGUGUCCCAUGGUAAGCUGAUGACUGAAGUGGAAGCAGGUCUGCAGAUUAAUAACUUGGGGGCCAUUGUCCAUCAGCUGCUAGCUGGCCUGGAGCCAGAGACCUUGACGUAUAAUAACUGCAAGUUUCUAGACUUUUGUGUUUAAAAUGCAGAAAAAUAAUGAUGCAUUAACUUUGCAUUACAUGGAUUUUUUUUUUAAUUCACUCAUUUAUUUUGAGAGAGAAAAAGAGCACAUGCACACAAGUGGGGGAAGGGCAGAGAAGGGGGAGCGGAGAGAGAGAGAAUCCCAAGCAGGCUCUGAACUGUCAAUGCAGAGCCUGAUGUUGGGCUGGAACCCACAGACCUUGAGAUCAUCACUGAUGAGGGAGUGUGAGGCAUACUGAGGGAAAGUACAGGCUAACAGCACCCCCCACCCCCAUCCCAGGUGGGACAUGUAUGGUAUUCCUUGGACACUCCUGGCUACCCCAAAACAGGAGAGGACAAAAAACAAGUAAGAGUCUCACCCAUUUUACAGGAAAAAGGCAAUUCCAUCAAUGGCCUAAAGUCCAAAAAUUCUCUACUGUUUUAAUGUUAACACUUUGCUAGAGGGAAAAACAACCUCACUGUGACAAUAGCUAGGCCUCCAGUAAGUCUCUAGCUUGUGAAAGUGUCUUUGGAAACUCCCUCUUGACUUUAUUUCUCCUAACUCCAUAAAAUGGUCACCCCCUACACUUGCCGUGCAGCUCUUCCUGCCCAAGGGUGCUGUCCCUGUGCUUUAAUAAAAUCACCUUUUUGCACCAAAGAUGUCUUCAAGAAUUCUUUUUCGGCUGUCGGCUCCAGACCCCAUGAACCCCAGCAUCCCCCCAAAACUUUAUCAAUGACCUAAGCUGAAGUCGGAUGCUGAACGAAUUGAGCCACCCAGGUGCCCCACGUAUUACAUGAUUUUGUUGUUGCUUUUAUAUGUAUGUGCAUGGGUGAGAGCAUUUUUGUUCUCUUUUUUUGGGAGUGAAAAAAGAGGUCUGUGUGCAUGUAAUCUGCUUGACUUUGGAGACUCUACACUGAGGGCAUUCAUUUGAAUGACUGCAUGGUUAUUCACCAUGUUAAGUGCUUUGAGGUAUUUAUUUUGUUUUAAUAUUCAAGCACCCAUGACACCUUCCAGCCAACAAUAGGAGGUCAGUUACCCUGUCGUAUAUUUUAAAGUACUUAGAAAGUAUUAACUUAUUCUUCACUCAGCUUUUAGGAAGCUGACGGUAUUGCUUGUUUUCUUCUGUUCAGGGGAGCACGCCUAUGUAAAUGAAACAGCCUGCCCUAGGUGCUCAGUGAAGAGCCUGGCUAGUGCUUUGUAAGACGGAGGAUGGAGUCCCCUCUGAUAAAAACAUGGCACGGUAGAGUUCUCCAGCUUGUUGUAACUGAAAGGCUGUAACUUGAGGGAACCAGGGGAAGACAAGAGUAGACAAUCAUGCCGACAGUCCUCGCCUGCUGGAGCUUGGAUGGUCUCGGGCUGAAUUGAAACUCCUCUAUCCCCUGCAGGAACAAGAUCUUGUCUGGGUCAACCUUUAAACAAAAUGCAACUUUUGUGGGGAGAGAAGGUUUUAUCUAGAAGGCCUCAAAGUGUUGUUGAGCAGGGUAAGUUGCUCGGAGAGGAAAAGCUCUCCCAGCCAAGGGGCACCAUUAUUUAAAUUCCAUCUGGGAGCUACACUCUUUAAAUUUGAAUUCAGCUUCUCUUGAGCUCCCUGACUUGCGUACUCAAGAAAUAUCUGUAGAUUUAUUCAUUUCUUUGGGUUAAGUGAUUGCCCUCUCGAUUUGGCCUCUUUAAAAUGCAGGCUCCCUGGAGAGAGAGCACAUUAAGCUGUUAAUAUUUACACCUUAGCAGCAGUAGAUUUAUAACAUUCUUUUUCUUCUCUGAUGAGGGACCAUUCAAGCAGCAAAGGAGGAUUGAAUUGAUGCUUUGCAGUGAGAGGUAUUGCAAAUGGGGAAAACAUUUAGUCCCUCCCCCAUUUGGGGGCCCAGGAGUAGUGGUGUGGGUGGGAUGGGUGCAUUGCCCAGGUGCGCUGAUGCUGAAGUUGGGUGCUGGGACCCUGAGUGCUGGAACCUGAGACCGGAAGGCAAGAGAAAGAACUAGAACUAAAUAAGAGAUGCUGUUUAGUCUGGGUCCUCUAAGGAGCAGAUGUCAGGCUGGGUUGGACAAAUUAGAGAUUGAUGAGAAGAAAUAUUUAUGGGGGGACAUGAGGGGACACAUUCUAUUGUAGGAUGCAGUGUCAUGAGUGGAUAGAAUGCCAGAGCAUUAUAAUUGGUCCAACUUUUAGCUCUGCUGCUUACUGGCUGCAUGGUCUUGAGAAAGAUACUAUAGAUCUCUGAACCUCAGUUUCCCCAUCAGUAAAGUGGGGAUAAUAAUACUUAUCUCAGAGGAGACUGUGAGGAUAAAAUGAGAUGAUGUCUGUACUAUGUACAUUCCAUAAGGGGGCAGUGCUUGUGAUUCUGUUUUAGGGUUGACUUAGAUUUUCUGUUUGCUCAAUGGUGUGUGUUUUAAAAUGUGCUUAAGACCAAUUUGACAAUAAAUUUCAUAUAUUGAAAAAAAAUAAAAUGUGCUUAAGAAUGCUUUUGAGAUAACAAAAGCAUGCUUGUAGACCCCUCAAUUGUCAUAUUUUGGCAGAUGACUCCAACUUGUAUGCAUCUGUGUGGUCAGGCUGGCUGAGAACUCUAACAUGUGACCAGGUUCAUUUAAUUUAAUUUAAUUUAAUUUUUUUUUAAUUUAUUUUAUUUUAUUUUUUUUGUAGAGAGAGACAGAGAGGGAAAGAGAAUAAGGGCAUGCAAGCUAGGGGUAGGGGGAGAAUCUUAAGCAGGCUCCAAACUCAGUGCAGAGCCCAACAAGGGGCUCGACUCCCCAACUCUGGAUUCAUGAUCUGAGCUGAAAUCAUCAGUCGGUCCUGAUGAGGUUUUCUGGGGGGUGAUAAUGGGGUUCGUGGGGUCCAGAGCUGACAGCCAAGAAAUAAUUCUUUUUUUUUUUUUAGCCUUCCUCACUUUAUUUUUUUAAAUAUAAUUUAUUGUCAAAUUGGCUUACAUACAACACCCAGUGCUCAUCACAACAAGUGCCCUCCUCAAUGCCCAUCACCCACUAAGAAAGAAUUCUUGAAUACAUCUUUGGUGCAAAAAGGUGAUUUUAUUGAAGCAUGGGGACAGGACCCGUGGGCAGGAAGAGCUGCCCCAGGACCAUGAGGAGAGACUGAAUACAAACCAUGGAGUUGGGGGAGGUAAAGUCCAAGGGAAGUUUCCAGUGAGAUUUUCAUAUGCUAAAGACUUACAGGACACUAGAGGCCUGGCUAUUGUCAAGCUAAGGUUGCUUUUCCCUCCAGCGAAAGCAUUAGCAUUAAGACAGUAGGGAGUUCCUGGAGAGACAUUUUACUCUGCCCGCCUCAAGUUUGUCAAUGGGCUGCAGGGUAUAAGGAAACUUAGUUCUAUCUGCCAUUUCCUUCUGCCUUGUUUCCCCACAUCUCUAUGGAGGGGUGAUGGAGACUUAGGUCCUGCAGGACUCUGAUCUCUAUCAGUUUGCCAUUUGUUUUCCCCCUUUCCUUUGUUCUUGGGCAGCCAGGAGUGCCUGAGGACUAUCACGCGUAUCCUACCUGGGAGGGGGCUGGGGUUUGCGGCCUGUCAGCUUGCCUUAUGCUCCCUCAACAGGACACUUAACUGAUUGAGCCACCCAGGCAUCCCCUAAAUUCAUUUUCUGUAUCAGGACGUCUUAAGGCUGAUUUGGCUUGGGAUCACAUGGAAAUUUAGCAAAGGUUAUUCUGUUUGUUGACUACUUUUUUUUUGACACAUAUUCAUGAUGUUUUUUAACACAUCAGAAUGACCAAGUUGUCCCUGAUGAGAGGAGUGGCAUGGGGUAGCAAUAAAGAACAGUAAUCAAAAGAUAAUGACAAGUCAUGUAUGUAAAAGGACUUCACAGUUUUUAAGGUACUUUUGCAAAAACUGGGCUUCAAGGUAUGAUAGGUAAUAGCAUUCCAUGCCACAGAUAUGGAAAACUGAAGUACAUAAGUCUCACUAUGCAUAAGAAUGUGUUGUGCGUGUCUUCAGGAGCACAUGAGGAAAUCAGGCCCCUGUUAUGUACAUGGUCCUGGAAGGGAGUCAGUGUACUUUACAACACUUCAAGAGAAUUAUGGGCUUGAGUCUUGGUGGGUGUGGGGGUGGAAGACAAUAUUCUUUAAGGAUAGUCACUGGACCUGACCCUGGGGGUUGGUGUAUUCCCAAAAUUUGCUUAGGAGGAAGCUAAAAAAAGGUAACAGAAUGGAAUACUACCUAAUGCAGUUUUAAGCAAAUAUGAAAUGCUUUUAAAGAGCUAUUUCUUGGCAAAUAAGGAUAAUGGCUAUGCCAAUCAUUUGCCCAUUUACUUUCAACUUUAUUCCCUACCUUUAUAAACCCUGACCUAUAUUGGAGGAAACUAUAAUUUCCUGACUCCUGUGCCUUUUAGCUUGUAAAGAGGUUUUGAUGUAGGCGGGCCAGGUCCAAGGACCCAGAGGGGGUCCUGCAGGACCAGCCAAGAGGGUCCUUGACUUCACACAGGAUGGAAAUCAAACGUGAGCCAGCAGGAGGUGAAAGCAGUUUAUUAAAGAGAGAGAGAGAAAGCACAUAUAGAUGAACCAUCCAGGAGACUUGGAAAGGAAAGGAGCGUGGGUCUCGUAUUUGUUCUGGGUCUGGGGGUUUUUAUUGAGGACUGUGGUCUGGUGCUUACGUCCUUUUGGACGAGUCCAUCAUAAGUCACUUACUCCCUGAAACCAGGGAUCUUGGCAUUAAGAUGUUUAGCACCAGUGGUAUAGAAUAUGCCUAUGGUACCUUCACCAGGUCAUUCUCACCUGGUCCUUACUCAGAUGUUAUCUAUUCUAGAGACACCAUUAAGUCUUUGUCCCUUUGUCCGAAGGAAGACAUACACAGGGCACCUGGGUGGCUCAUGUGGUUAAGCAUCCAAUCCUUUUAUUAAAAAUUCAUUCAUUCAUUCAUUCAUUCGUUCAUUCAUUCAUUCAUUCAUUUUUUACUUUACAUCCAAGUUAGUUAGCAUAUAGUGCAACAAUGAUUUCAGGAGUAGAUUCCAGUGAUUCAUCCCCUAUGUAUAACACCCAGUGCUCAUCCCAACAAGUAUCUUCAUUAAUGUUCCUUACCCGUUUAGCCCAUCCCUCCUCCCACAACCCCUUCAGCAACCCUCUGUUUGUUUCUAUAUUUAGGAGUCUUAUGUUUUUCCCCCCUCCCUGUUUUAUAUUCUUUUUGCUUCCCUUCCCUUAUGUUCAUUUGUUUUGUAUCUUAAGUUCCUCAUAGGAGUGAAGUCAUAUGAUAUUUGUCUUUCUCUGACUAAUUUCAUUUAAGCAUCCAAUUCUUAAUCUCAGCUCACAUUAUCAGUCUCAGUGUCCCAGGUUCAAGUUCUGGGUCAACGCCUAGCAUGGAGCCUACUGAAAGAAACAAAAACAAGAAGGACAUACAGUGUUUGCAUUCUGAGGCGUAUAUAGAGUGGAGUGGGGGCGGGGGUGCAGGUCCUAGUAAGAAGAGAAGCCGGAUAAGAAGCAAAGGGAAAAAAACCCCAAACCCAACCUUUAUUCUCACGAGGUACCUUCGGUUUCCCUGUCUCAUAGAUAUUACGAUUAUUUGUCUGAUUGUUCCGGGGUGAACUGGGCAGAUGCCUGGCCCUGGAGUCUAGACCCAGCCAGACCCGAAGGAGCCAGGGAAGGUUCUUGGUCUUGUUAGGAGAAUGAAUACAAGGACAGACACGCAUCACACUGGACAAAUGACACCAGCGGGAAAGUUUAUUAAAGCGAAUAGCCCACAGGGCAGGUGAGCUCCAGAGAGCCCCGCGCCUUGGGGGUUGGGUUUCUUUCCUUUACUGACAGUUGCUAACUACUGGGCAGAAGAUUCAUUACUUGGGAGGGAAGCAGGGUUUCGCGCUUUUUCUUCCUAAUUUGGUCAGGGGUUUCAGGUCAUGGUAUCCACCAUCUUGGUCCGGUCUGGUUUGAUCCAGGCUUCUUAUAGACUGCUGCCAGGACAGACCUCUGACCUUCCUGAAUGCUGGCCAUGAUUUCCUGGUUGCCCACCUCCAGUGUUCUCCACCUGAAUUCUCCCUGUCCACCUAAAAAAGCAAAACCCAGCAAUAAUUCAAACCCCAGAGGUACAUUAUGAAAAACACGUGCAGCAGAAUGACUGCAUGCUAAGGCCUUAAAUGAGGUAUCUCAUCUGAAGUUGACGGCCACUCUGUAAGGUCAGCAGAAAGGCAUUUCAAUCCCCUUGGUCAAGGCUACAGAGAUGGGGGUCCCCCCUCCUCGGUUUGCUCGCAGAGGUGGGUGUGAGAACCUAUAGGAGUGUCUGGAAGAGAUCCUGCGGAAGUCAUUUUGCCCAGAGCUGGAGGAGAAGCAAAAG